CAUAUUUAUCCUAAAAACAUAAACUAUUUUCUCUCCUCCAUACAAGAUGUAUUUGACCACAGGAAUAUGAACAUUCUAUCCUUUCCUUCUUUUCUUUCUGUCUGUAGUUUUCUUCUCCAAUCUGUGACCCAUUCUUUCUCCUUCUUUCUUUGCAAUUGCUUCUUCUUCUUCUUCUUCUUCUUCUUCUUCUUCUUGACGUUUCAGCCUGCAAUUUUUUGCUUUCUUCUUCUUGUAUUUUAUUUUAUUUUUUUUAUCGAGUAUCUGAUUCGGUAAUAGGAGUCGAUCAAGUUCGUUGUCUCUAAACAUAAAAACACAAACGAUCAAGAAUUUUGCAAGAUUCCAUUUCUUUUUCGCCCGUUUGACAUUUUUUAAAUUUCUUUCUUCUUCUCGCCAGUGAGAAUGGGAGAAUAAAAAGGAAGCCUACACAACUGGAUUCUUGUUUUCUAAGAUGUUAGAGUGCGGUCACGGGACUCCUCCGACGGUGAUCUUAAUUUCAAGAUUUCUAUAUGAAGAUGGUGCCUUACAGAAAGAUGAAUACUCUGCUUCAGCUGACGGAAGACGAGACUCUUUAUAUAUUGUCUCAAUGGAACAUUCGGGUAGAGGAGUAUAGCAUUGAAGAUGGGUUUUGAGUGUGGGGAAAAUAAUGGUUUAGCAAUAGGAGCUGUGAUGGCAUUGAAAGAGAUGAACUGGUCUGCUGUGUGUUGAGCGAUGCGUGAAUAAAUGGGUGUAAGGGAAGCUAGUUUUUGGGUAAAAAAAGAGAGAUAGAUUUGACCUCAACAUGUAGGAGAGAUAAUACAGGAGAGAGAAUAUUUU